AGAGAAGACCUUGUCUGACCAGUUUGAGGCCAAGAGGGCGAAAAACAAGGCUAGCAGAGAGAGGAAGAUUGCCCGGCGGGAGGAGCGCCUUGCUAUGGGUCCAGCAGGAGACAAGGCUAUGGCUGCAGCUCAAGCAGCUGCUGCCCAAACAACAGAACCAUCGAAGAAGUCCAAGAAGUGAAGAGAGUUUCUCGUGUCCUGAUAUCCCUCCUUUUUUUGCUGCUGUUUCCUAAUUUUUUUUGUCUUGCUGUUGUUUCGUUGGUUGAUCUUCCUAAUCUAAGUUUUAGUUGUUCGUGGAGUGUUUCUUGAAAACUCAGUUUAGUUAUAUAUAAACUUUUACGUUAAAACGUU